GGCAAUAGCUCAGUGGUAGAACACCUGCCUUGCAUGCAGAAGUUCUCAGGUUCAGUCCCCAGGUAGAGUUG